GUAGUGGGGAGUCUGCCCGAUAGAGGGGAAUAACUACUAGGAAACGGGGGCUAAUACCGCAUAAUGUCUACGGACCAAAGCAGGGGCUCUUCGGACCUUGCACUAUCGGAUGAACCCAUAUGGGAUUAGCUAGUAGGUGGGGUAAAGGCUCACCUAGGCGACGAUCUCUAGCUGGUCUGAGAGGAUGAUCAGCCACACUGGGACUGAGACACGGCCCAG
rnacentral:rRNA from 1 species